rnacentral:tRNA from 1 species
CUUUUGUCGGGGUGGCAGGAUUCGAACCUACGACCUCCACAUCCCAAAUGUGGCGCGAUACCGGGCUACGCUACACCCCGAAAAAGUAUCACCUUUU